rnacentral:rRNA from 1 species
GCACGGGUGAGUAACGCGUAAGUAAUCUACCCUUGCAUCUGGAAUAACUACGGGAAGCUGUAGCUAAUACCGGAUACGUUCUCUAGUUUACGAACUAGAGAAGAAAGAUGACCUCUUCUUGAAAGUUAUCGUGCAGGGAGGAGCUUGCGUACCAUUAGCUAGUUGGUAGGGUAAUGGCCUACCAAGGCAACGAUGGUCAGCGGGUCUGAGAGGAUGAUCCGCCACACUGGAACUGGAACACGGACCAGACUCCUACGGGAGGCAGCAGUGAGGAAUAUUGCGCAAUGGGGGAAACCCUGACGCAACGACGCCGCGUGGAUGAUGAAGGCCUUAGGGUCGUAAAAUCCUGUCAGGUGGGAAGAAAUGUAUAAGGGAAUCAUACCUCUUAUGCUUGACGGUACCACCAGAUGAAGCACCGGCUAACUCCAUGCCAGCAGCCGCGGUAAUACGGAUGGUGCUUACGCUGUUCGCAAUUACUGCGGCGUAGAGCGCUCCUAAGCGAGUUUGUU